rnacentral:rRNA from 1 species
CCUACGGGUGGCAGCAGUGGGGAAUAUUGGGCAAUGGGCGCAAGCCUGACCCAGCAACGCCGCGUGAAGGAUGAAGGUUUUCGGAUUGUAAACUUCUGUCGCGAGGGAAGAAGAAAGUGACGGUACCUUAGGAAUAAGCCUCGGCUAACUACGUGCCAGCAGCCGCGGUAAUACGUAGGAGGCAAGCGUUAUCCGGAAUGACUGGGCGUAAAGGGUGCGUAGGUGGUUUGACAAGUUGGUAGCGUAACUCCGAGGCUUAACCUCGGCACUACUACCAAAACUGUUGGACUCGAGUGCAGGAGGGGCAAAUGGAAUUCCUAGUGUAGCGGUGGAAUGCGUAGAUAUUAGGAGGAACACCAGUGGCGAAGGCGAUUUGCUGGACUGUAACUGACACUGAGGCACGAAAGCGUGGGGAGCAAACAGGAUUAGAUACCCGUGUAGUC